rnacentral:rRNA from 1 species
AGCGAACGCUGGCGGCAGGCCUAACACAUGCAAGUCGAACGAUCCUUCGGGAUAGUGGCGGACGGGUGAGUAACACGUGGGAACGUGCCUUUUGGUUCGGAAUAACACAGGGAAACUUGUGCUAAUACCGGAUGAGCCCUACGGGGGAAAGAUUUAUCGCCGAAAGAGCGGCCCGCGUUAGAUUAGCUAGUUGGUGGGGUAAAGGCCCACCAAGGCUACGAUCUAUAGCUGGUCUGAGAGGAUGAUCAGCCACACUGGGACUGAGACACG